AUGAGGACAUGUCCUGAAAUAUCGUCUGGCCCAGUGUCUUUACGAGUGUUGACCAGUUUAACUUCAAUGUCUAAGCCGUUGGGGGGUGUUUAUCACCUCUCUUUCAAAAUGUUUAUCACCUCUCUUUCAAAAUGUUUACCACCUCUCUUUCAAAAUGUUUACCACCCCCAUUCAAAAUGUUUACCACCUCUCUUUCAAAAUGUUUACCACCUCUCUUUCAAAAUGUUUACCACCCCCCCCCAUUCAAAAUGUUUAUCACCCUCCUUUCAAAAUGUUUAUCACCCUCCUUUCAAAAUGUUUACCACCUCUCUUUCAAAAUGUUUAUCACCCCCUUUCAAAAUGUUUACCACCUCUCUUUCAAACAUUUUUCCACCUCUCUUUCAAAAUGUUUGCCAUCUCUCUUUCAAAAUGUUUACCACCCCCCUUUCAAAAUGUUUACCUUUUGUUGGCUUACAGCCUGAAUUGAAAGCACAUAAAAUCAGACUUUUUCUAGCUUUUUUAAAAAACAAACAUUUCGGCACUGAACAGUCUCCAUAUCUGCCAUACUUCCCAUGAUUUUUUUCAAAUGGUAGUGUGAGAUGUAUGGAGAGAAGAGGAGAGGG
rnacentral:lncRNA from 13 species